AGUGAACGCUGGCGGUAGGCCUAACACAUGCAAGUCGAACGGCAGCACAGUAAGAGCUUGCUCUUACGGGUGGCGAGUGGCGGACGGGUGAGGAAUACAUCGGAAUCUACUUUUUCGUGGGGGAUAACGUAGGGAAACUUACGCUAAUACCGCAUACGACCUACGGGUGAAAGCAGGGGAUCUUCGGACCUUGCGCGAUUGAAUGAGCCGAUGUCGGAUUAGCUAGUUGGCGGGGUAAAGGCCCACCAAGGCGACGAUCCGUAGCUGGUCUGAGAGGAUGAUCAGCCACACUGGAACUGAGACACGGUCCAGACUCCUACGGGAGGCAGCAGUGGGGAAUAUUGGACAAUGGGCGCAAGCCUGAUCCAGCUAUACCGCGUGGGUGAAGAAGGCCUUCGGGUUGUAAAGCUCUUUUGUUGGGAAAGAAAAGCAGCAGGUUAAUACCCCGCUGUUCUGACGGUACCCAAAGAAUAAGCACCGGCUAACUUCGUG
rnacentral:rRNA from 1 species